UCCGGCUCCUGCACUUCUCCAUGGCCCUUGGAGCUGCAGUUGCACGAGAGAAAUUGUAAGAGCAUGGAAAGCAAGUACUCAACUGAAACAACACCAAUGCAGAUAUCUUGUGGGUAGAACAGUAUAAGGGAAUGGAAUUGAGUGGAUUUCACUGAAUGGAAGUAUAGAUUCUGCUAGUUCAUUCCUAAAGU